ACACUAUUCAACAUCCCCACAGCACACUUUCCACUGCCCAUAUACAUAGGCUAGUCGAAAGAAUUGUGUGUUUGGUCAGUAGUUCAGUUGGUUGGUCACAUAUGUUGGUUUGCUGUUCAGGUUUGGUUUGUUGCAUUUUGUUUGGGUAUUUCCAACAUGGUAAAGAUGGUUUGUUGUUCCCAGUAUUUGUUUUGUCUGUCUGGGUAAGUUUCCUCCGUUCUGGCUCGGUCGGUCCUUGUGAUUUUGGUACUGGUUUUCUGUCCCAACCAUAUAAUCGCAUAUUUUCUAAUCUUCCAUACGCUACACUAAUCCCUUUACAGAUUUCAUGAUACUUACUUUAUUCUAAUAAAUAACUUUAUCCCUUAUGUGUGGAUCCCGAUCUUUGCUCUGACCCGAGCCUCGUCUUAAUGCAGCCAAGGAGAUGGAUAUCAACACAAUGGGAGAGUAUUAUCAAUAAUUAUUCAAUGAUUGUGUUGUACAAUAAAACACAGUAAAGAUUCAAUAUGAAUGGCAAAAUAAAGAAUAAGAAUAAAAUAUGUGUUGGGCAAAUUAUAGAGAAACUGAGAUUAUAGAUUUCAUAUCAAAAGGUGAAGGGCUGAACAAUUUUAAGAAAUAUAUUAAAGAAAUAUAGGCCUACUCAAAGCCCAAAUCAUUGAUAUCAUAACCUAUCCAAUAUUAAAGAAAUUUGAAUUUGAAUGGUAACAAUUCCGUCUGGUGUUAAAUCCUCGUUCUCGUUUUGAACGUCUCACUCAUGGCCGAUCACAGUGUGUUCUUUCUGAUUAGCUCUUAUUGAGAUCACCUGUCACAAACCCCUUUAUUAAAGGUGGACACAAUGGGUUUGGUUUACUUUGCAUCGGCCUGUGUCAAUCGGGGUUGAGUUUAGGGAGUGUUGAAAGUUUUCGAUCUAGAUUGCAGAUCACUAUUGUCACUUUAUACAAACUGGAAGCAUGCGUUGUUGCGUGUUUGUUUUUGUGGGCAUUUGACUGAGCAGCCCAGACCAAUAUUGCUACCAGCAUGGCACUUCGAAACAGACCACCGCAGUGUUAGAUGACUGACUGACAAGAUCUAUGGGGGGGCCCCCUUUGGGCCCCCCCAUACCAACUUAGUCUUCAAAGGAAUCUAGUGCCAUGGGACUCCAGUGUCUUCAAAACAUCCUCGGAAUACAUGUGUAUGAAUGGUCCACCGAAGGGUUGAUCUGGAAGCCACCACGGUCCACGCAGUAAUAUGCUGCGUGGGCCGUAGUGGCUUCCAGAGCCAUCUUUCGGUCUUGGUCAGGAUUUGUUACAGUUGCCCUUCAAUGUAGCAGGCUACGGGUUUCUGAAGAAGCCUGCUUUACGUAGCAUUGGAGUACAAAUAUUGUGCAAAAUGCUCAUGUAAUUGCCCUAGCACUAGUAACCUGUAGAUUAGCUUAGUUUAACGUCAUUCCGUGCUGUCUCUGUCAAAUGUGUGGCUUACUUUAAGUCCAUAAGGCCCUCUGGUAAACCAUGUUGGAACACCCCUGGACAAGGUGAUUAGUCACUGGGUGUGUGUGCUAAAGUUUUGUUCCAUUUUUCACUAGUUGGUUAAGGUUUGGUAGAAUUGUUUGGAUGCUAGCGACGUGAUGGCGUAUGUACAAGAGCCUACUGUGGCCAGGCCACAGUUGCGACGGUCACGGCCAGAUGGCCUAGUGUGAGUGCAACCUUGAUUGCAUUUGUAUACUGUUUACCAUUGGAUGUUUAUGCAAUUUGGCUUAAUUCAUCCGCAGUAAAGCUGCAUUUGACUAUUCCAGGGUUGUUUUGUACAGGCUUUCAAUUGACCAUGUUGACUAGUUUGUGGGAAGUUAUUAUUUUUUUUUAUUCUUGCUUACAAUCCAACGGUUGUGACCACUUAUGCAACUGGGCUGUGAACCUUGCAAUUCUAGUUGCAUAUUUAUACACGCAAGCUUGUCCAUUUCUAUCGCCAUCACUAACACUAGCUUCAGCAUUUCCUUGUAGGCCAUUAGCUGACUUGUGUAUUGGAGCGAUGAUUUGGGUAUUUUAAGAUGCUUGAAAACCUAAAAUAAAGCAAAAUGCAUGUCUGGUGUGCAAGAGCCAAUUUGUUGGCUUGCAGUAGUCGAGGAGUUGCCGUAGGUCGUAAGCCAUCUGGAGGUUGUGGCAAUGGAGGCUUGUGGUAGAUCUGCCAUCCAAGAAAGGUUAAUAAUUCUUCUGAAGCAUGAUUAAUAUUUUAGUGAAUUGAAUCUAUUCAUAUAGAACUAUAAAAUCCAAGACUGCAGCCAGUAACUUGGAUCGCAAUAUGUGGAAAGUAUUAGUCUUCAUUUGUAACAGAAUAAUUAACAUGACUAACUGGGUUUCUUCCAUUUUCUAACUAGGGGGAGUUGACUGGUGAGUCUACUGGAUUAAUCAGUAGCGGUACUUUGCCCAACAGAUUUGAUGGCAUGACUACAGGUUGGUGGUUCAACACUGAUGUCUCUCUAGGCUUGAGGGAGAGCUCACAAGUAAAUUACACGAAUGUCCUGGAGGAAUUGGGAAUACACUUUUAUUUAGUCUACCUGACCAGGGGCAUCUUUGAACUAUAGGUCACCUAACCCAAACUUUUCACUCUUGUUAGGUUGUCCUUUUCUCUUGUUUUAACCCGAAAGGGCUGAAAUAUCAACAUUUCAGGUAUUCUGUUUGGAUAAUGUGCAAAACUUGUAGCUUCUCUAAUAAAAAAAAUUAACGAAUAUUUUUCUUAAUGUGGUUAAACUAUUUAAAGAUUUGUAUGCAAAAUAUUUCUGCUCAAUGAAACUCUGACAUUUUUAAUUUGAUAAAACUCAACUAUGGGUUAAUGGUAUUUGCUUUGGGCAUCUUUUAAUAUUUUUAGAAUCUAGCUCCAUUGCCGUUAGAAAUGGUGUCUCCCAGUACUGCAAAGUGCUUCCACAAAUUUAAAAAAUGGGCAGAAAAGGAACUGCCAACUAAAUCUAUUUAACAUGGGUAGAAAGUUUCCAUGGAAGCUCUUGGCUGCUGGUUCCCAACACAGCUCCACUGUUAGCCUGUGACCUUGCGUUUAACUUUUUUCGACUUUUGGUGACUUUCACAAAAGAGAAAUGAACAAUGUUAAUACAAGACCCCCUUUGAUCAAAGGGGUUCUCAAAUGUUGACCCUCAGUCACCUAUUGCAUCACUUCCUUUAGGGCUUCGGCCUCCUAAUUGAUCAUUAUAGUAUAAUUGAAUGCCCUCUUUCAUAUAUAUGAUGCCUCCACCACUGGGACGUGGCAACAAUUCUCCAAAUCCAUAUGGGGGGGAUGCUUGUGGACAGUAGGGGUGUAUACUCGACAUAAAUAGGAAGCAAACUCAUCUCACAAAUGGGUAAUGACAUCUCACAAAUAUUUAUUUAAUAAAUUGUUUCAAUUUAUAAUAAUCCAAAAUCCAAUGGCAAAACCAGGCCCCCAGGAUAGGCGCAUACUUCCGCAAUCCACCAGUGCUCAGAGGC